AUCCAGCUGACGAGUCUUAAAUAGAACGAAACGCACGUCUUAGAU
rnacentral:hammerhead_ribozyme from 1 species